GGGGUGACUGCCGGCCAGGCGCUGCCAAGGCCCCCGUCACUCGGGCAACCCCAGACGACCCCCGCAGCGCCGCCACCAAUGCCGGGACCAGAAUUCUCCUCCUCUUCCCCCAAGCACCGAGGCCCACCCAGUCUCCACCAACCCUGGCUCUGCUCGCGCUCACGCGACUGGACCCGUGGCCUCACCGCUGUCCAGCAUCCUUUCCGAGCACAGCAGGCGCGGAGGAGGCGCUGCCAAAACCCAGAGAAUAGAGCCUAGUGGAGGCCACGGGAGGAGGAGGACGGACGUAGAGCAAGGUCGGGAGAUGGGUCGGGACCACGCCGUGCCUUGUUAAGGCUGCAUAAGUGGCUUCGACCCAGACUCGGCCUUGAACUACGAAGUGACCUUGGGCCAGUUCCCUCCACUCGUGGGGCCUCGGUUCCCUUCUGUGAAAUCACACCGGCAGUAAACGAUGAGUGCUGAACGUUUCACCUGGGGCCACGCGGCCGCGUGAUCAACCCCGGGCCUCCGGUAGCGAUAAUAAAGGACCUUGUUCCUGGAGGCGCGCACGGAGGAAACGAGAGGCCAGCAGAGGGUGGCGGCUGCAGACCACCUGGGACCGAGGCAGAGAGAGCAAUCGCUCCAUCUCUGCUUCCUCUUCGGCCGCAGGGCUGUCUAGAGGACACGAUGUCCCUUCCCCACCCGCCUUCCAAGGACCCGGCUCAGUAGCCGCGCCGGGCUAACCCAAACCGAGCAGACUGCGCUGGCGUACAGCACCCGCCCUACCGCGGUGAAGACCCUCCCUCUUACCCCAAAGCAAGCCGGCAGGGGGCUCCGCAGCAAGGGCUGGACGGGUGCGCUCGUCUGAACCCGUAGCUCUGCAGGUGCUCGCGCUUCUGGCUUGGAGUUGGCUCGUUGCCUAGGCUCUCCAAGACCCUCUCCCGACCCCUAAAACCGCGGCCUCCUGCUUCUGACACCCGGAUGUGCCUUACACACACUCCGGUGCGUGCGUUAGGGCUGCGCCGGGCGGGGCCCGACGGCAGACAGCGCGGAGGCGGGGAGUGCUCAGGCGCAGCCUCCUUAGCCCUCCUUAUCCCGGCUGGCUCUGCUCCAGUCAAGGGUGCCCAUAAUCUCUAGACACCCCGGAGGUAAACCUGCUCAUGCAGGGCCAUCCUGAUCCAAGCCUGGUACAGAUCCUCGCUGUCAUCUGAUCUUCGCUUCCUGGAUCCUGAGGGGAGGCAAAAGGUGCGAGAAGGUUUCAGCCCCCCACCCCCACCCCCAAAACCAGGGGAGAUGGUGCCGCUCCAGGAAGUGAAGAAACCGCGUAGAGGACGAGACUUCUUCCAGGUCUUUUGUAUUUGCUGUCUUUAAAGCUCAUCGGGGCUAAAUGGUUAGUUGGUUGACUUUUCGAAUGUCAUUUAAGGAACCGACACUUAAAUUUUUUUUCUUCUGAGGGUCUUUAACAUAUCGCACUUUCCCAAGGUUUCUCCAAUAGACUGUGCGUGUGGUCUGCAGGGGCAGCCACCCAUAAGUGACUCCUCAAAUCCUACUACCUGUUUCCAUUAUGAGAAUCAGGCUGAGGAACGGCACCAGCAUCUAAUAGCGGUGAGCUAUGUUUAGAUAAAUGACUUAAGGACUGCGCAGAAAGGGACUGAACGUCCCGGGGAAGUAUGCGGACAAUGGGGGACAGAGGCUUUAAAGAAAGCUGCCAGCCCCGUCCCUGGAUCUUGAGGAUUGAGGCUGUGUGUUCCCAUUUUAUACCCAUUUCCUGGUACCCAGAGCGCUGAAGACAGGGAGAAUCCUGAAAAUAGAACGCCUUGGUUCUCUGAGCCCAUUUCACAGACUCAAGCCAGACUCAGGUGACCCAGAAUGCCGCUCAGUAGAUGGUGCUGUAAUCCAGAACAAUAAAUCUCUAGACUGUAAAAAA
rnacentral:lncRNA from 1 species